rnacentral:rRNA from 1 species
UGGGGAAUAUUGGACAAUGGGCGCAAGCCUGAUCCAGCAAUGCCGCGUGUGUGAAGAAGGCCUGCGGGUUGUAAAGCACUUUCAGCGGGGAAGAAAAGCCCGAAGCUAAUACCCUCGGGUCUUGACGUUACUCGCAGAAGAAGCACCGGCUAACUCCGUGCCAGCAGCCGCGGUAAUACGGAGGGUGCAAGCGUUAAUCGGAAUCACUGGGCGUAAAGCGCGCGUAGGCGGCCAGGUAAGUCAGAUGUGAAAGCCCCGGGCUCAACCUGGGAACCGCAUUUGAUACUGCCGGGCUCGAGUCCGAGAGAGGGGGGUGGAAUUCCAGGUGUAGCGGUGAAAUGCGUAGAUAUCUGGAGGAACACCGGUGGCGAAGGCGGCCCCCUGGCUCGAGACUGACGCUGAGGUGCGAAAGCGUGGGGAGCAAACAGG